rnacentral:rRNA from 1 species
AUUGAACGCUGGCGGCAGGCCUCACACAUGCAAGUCGAACGAGUGGCGGACGGGUGCGUAAUGUCUGGGAAACUGCCUGAUGGAGGGGGCUAAAUACUGGAAACGGUAGCAAAUACCGCAUACCAUCGGAUGUGCCCAGAUGGGAUUAGCUAGUAGGGGGGGUAAAGGCUCACCUAGGCGACGAUCCCUAGCUGUUCUGAGAGGAUGACCAGCCACACUGGAACGGAGACACGGUCCAGCUCCCGACGGGAGGCAGCAGUGGGGAAUAUUGCACGAUGGGCGCAAGCCUGAUGCAGCCAUGCCGCGUGUAUGAAGAAGGCCUUCGGGUUGUAAAGUACGUUCAUCGGGGAGGCGUUACCCGCAGAAGAAGCACCGGCUAACUCCGUGCCAGCCGCCGCGGUAAUAC